CAGCGGGUUAGGUGCUUACUCGCUUGAGCUAACGGCUGAAUAAAUCAUUUGAAACUACAACUCUCUGUCGACUCCACUCCUUCGUUAACCGGGACGCCCAAAGACUGCAGAUUGUGAUCUCCUGAAGAAGAGGACUUGUGACUUAUCCUUCUAAGUGGUCAAAGAACAUUACAACUAGAAGGGUCCUUGGAUAAGAUUUGUUCUAAUCCUGUUAUAUUUUAUAGAUGAGAAAAAAACAGCUACAUAGAGGGGCACCCUGGGAAUGAGAAAGAAGGUCAGGAGUUUUAUAUGGUGAGGAAGAGUCUAAAGCAGGCACAUCUUGUGGUGCCCUACUUCUGGCAUUACAGUCAUAAGAGCACCAAUCAACCAAGAAGCUGGAAGUUUGUGAACUUGGAAAAGUUCAAAUUUGAGGGUGUUGCAGAGAAGCAACAAGAACGGAAAGGAAAUGGGUACAAUGAGACGUUGUGUCUAGAGGUGAGAAAGUCUGUUACAAGAAAGGCUAGACCCCCAAAACCAGCAUCUUCAAGCCAAAAUAAAGGCUUAUAGAAAUGGGAGUAUGGAAAGAAGGAUUUCACUUAUCCUGACUCCAAUGUGCUUCUAUGAAAAAUAGUGUCCAAAGUUAAUGUCCAAAGUCUAUUAAAAUGUAAGCUCCUUAACAGCAAGUCCUGUUUUUGUCUGUCUCUGUAUCCU